AAAUAAAAAUAUAAAAUGUGAAAAGUGAGAAAUAUACUAAACGAAAAUUUAGUAGUGGAAGGUCGGCCAAAUAAAAAAAUAUAAAAUUAUUUUGAUGGUGUAAAGCAGAAAAUGUAAUUAAGGAAUAAAUUCAAAUAGGUAUAAAAUAAUUAGUAUUCAGAGCUAUUAUGCUAAGGUAUAAAAAAUCAAAAUAUAAGAUGUGAAAAGUGAGAAAUGUACUAAACGAAAAUUUAGAGGUGGAAGGUCGGCCAAAUAAAAAAUAUAAACAUUUUUUGAAGGAGUAAAGCAGAAAAUGCAAUUAAGGAUUAAAUUAAAAUAGGUAUAAAAUAAUUAGUAUUCAGAGCUGUUAUGCUAAGGUAUAAAAAAUAUAGGAUGUGAAAAGUGAGAAAUAUACUAAACGAAAAUUUACAGGUGGAAGGUCGGCCAAAUAAAAAAUAUAAAAUUAUUUUGAAGGUGCAAGGCAGAAAAUGCAAUUAAGGAAUAAAUUAAAAUAGGUAUAAAAUAAUUAGUAUUCAGAGAAAAAUAUAAGAUAUGAAAAGUGAGAAAUAUACUAAACGAAAAUUUAGAGGUGGAAGGUCGGCCAAAUAAAAAAUAUAAAAUUAUUUUGAAGGUGUAAAGCAGAAAAUGCAAUUAAGGAUUAAAUUAAAAUAGGUAUAAAAUAAUUAGUAUUCAGAGAAAAAUAUAUGAUAUGAAAAGUGAGAAAUAUACUAAACGAAAAUUUAGAGGUGGAAGGUCGGCCAAAUAAAAAAUAUAAAACUAUUUUGAAGGUGUAAAGCAGAAAAUGCAAUUAAGGAUUAAAUUAAAAUAGGUAUAAAAUAAUUAGUAUUCAGAGCUAUUAUGCUAAGGUAUAAAAAAUAAAAAUAUAAGAUGUGAAAAGUGGGAAAUAUACUAAACGAAAAUUUAGAGGUGGAAGGUCGGCCAAACAAAACAUAUAAAAUUAUUUUGAAGGUGUAAAGCAGAAAAUGCAAUUAAGAUUAAAUUAAAAUAGGUAUAAAAUAAUUAGUAUUCAGAGCUAUUAUGCUAAGGUAUAAAAAAUAAAAAUAUAAGAUGUGAAAAGUGGGAAAUAUACUAAACGAAAAUUUAGAGGUGGAAGGUCGGCCAAACAAAAAAUAUAAAAAUUAUUUUUGAAGGUGUAAAGCAGAAAAUGCAAUUAAGGAUUAAAUUAAAAUAGGUAUAAAAUAAUUAGUAUUCAGAGCUAUUAUGCUAAGGUAUAAAAAAUAAAAAUAUAAGAUGUGAAAAGUGGGAAAUAUACUAAACGAAAAUUUAGAGGUGGAAGGUCGGC